CGGAGGCAGCAGUGAGGAAUAUUGCGCAAUGGGCGAAAGCCUGACGCAGCGACGCCGCGUGGGUGAUGAAGGCCUUCGGGUCGUAAAGCCCUGUCGGGAGGGACGAAACCUCGGCGACCUAAUACGUCGUCGACCUGACGGUACCUCCUAAGGAAGCACCGGCUAACUCCGUGCCAGCAGCCGCGGUAAUACGGAGGGUGCGAGCGUUGUUCGGAAUCACUGGGCGUAAAGCGCGUGUAGGCGGCCUGGUAAGUCUGAUGUGAAAGCCCGGGGCUUACCCCCGGAAGUGCAUUGGAAACUGCGAGGCUAGAGUACCGGAGAGGAAGGUGGAAUUCCUGGUGUAGCGGUGAAAUGCGUAGAUAUCAGGAGGAACACCGGUGGCGAAGGCGGCCUUCUGGACGGAUACUGACGCUGAGACGCGAAAGCGUGGGGAGCAAACAGGAUUAGAUACCCCGGU
rnacentral:rRNA from 1 species